GGGUAGAGUCUUAAACUAAGUCUGAUCUGUAUAUUUAAGUUAAACAACACUUUCAACGUGUAUGGGCAAGCAGCAGCAUUAUUCAAAUGGUGAAAAACACAGGCUCCAGAUUUUGUAACUAUACGAAUAUAUCAUUCAAAAUAAAUACCUUUUUCUCCCUCCUAGGUUUAACUAUAAGAAAAUGAAUCCUUAAAAAGGAAUGAUUCGAUGGUGUAAGAAUGCAAAUUUGGCAAAGUAGUAAAACGCUAGUAAUUCUGGACAUUUUACAUUCCUGCCUAUAACUGAAAGUUCUGUACUUCUUUCUAGGGUUGGUAUGCUUCCCAGCCUUAUAACCACUGAUACUUUUGACAGAUCUUGGAAAGAGUGACUCAUUUAUGAAGACGCACAACGUUUAAGAAAACAACCACAGGAUAAUGAGGGAAAGGUGUGACGACUAGGCUUGUGUUUUGACUAAUCUUGGGGAAAUGUAUAAGCCUUCCAGAUAUUUGCUAAUUUCUCCAGGAGAGAGCAUAUUUCUCACUGCAAGGUCCAUCCAGUUACUGUGAAAUGAUUUAUAGAAGCACUCUUGAUUCGUCAGGGCUGACACCUAGCCACUCAACUGCCAUAGAGAGCUUAAAUCUGUUUGGCAAACCUAGCACAAUAACUAGAAACAUUGCUUAGAUAUAUAAAUCUAUCAAAGACAUUAGGAAUUUACAUUUCUGAAGUCAUAACCGUUUGAUUUUUUUUUUGCAAUAGAAACUUCUCACCCCUGCUUGCUCUCGUUCACUGAAGCAAAAGUGUCUCAGUAUUUUGUUUUGAAAUGGAAAAAAAGUGUUAAGGAGUUGUUCUCUUCUGUCAUGUUUGCAGUUAUUGCUUGAUGGAUUCUGCUAACUCCCAGGAGAAUCCAAGUGGGAGGACAAGUAGAAGGAACAAAGAGUCCAAAGGCUGGAGCCCUCAGUUCGUUGUUUAUGGAACAUUCCUGCAGUCCCCAGAAGGGGCACGGAACCCAGUGAAGGAUGACUCAAGCAACUGCAUCAUGGUCUCACUUAAGGAUUUAAGAGGAAUCAACAGAGAACAAAAUUGGUGGUAGUGGUGAGAGGGGGUGGCAGAAAGAUAUAAAAAAGAAAUAUAUGUGUAAUAAAAUAAUCUGACAUAAUCAUAAAACAGGAAAAACCAUCACUUUUGUUGGUAGGCCUAAGGAGGUGGGAAAGCUCUCUGUUGAAUGCUCUGUUGGUCAUUUGCUGUUAGUUUUGUCUGGUUUGGAUUGGGUUGGGGCUUUCCAGAAAUUAACAGAAGGUUAAAGGGCACUGUACAAAAUCUUUGACUGUGAGCCAAGAAUUUAAAUUUCAUUAGGAGUAAGGGGAAGGAAUAUUUCUUGAGCACCUGUCAAGCGUAUGCCCUGUGUCAGACUCUUAUGAGAAAUCAUAUCCUUUUCAUUCUUGCAACAUGUGAGGUAGGGGUUAUCUCCAUUUUAUAAACAGGGAACCUUAGGCUCAGAGAGGUUUGCUAUCAGUUUGCUCAAGGCUAGUCAGAUGAUUAGUAAUGGAAGAGAUAAUAAAACCUCAAACUGUCUGACUUCAGACGUGCCACUGCACACCAGGUUCUCUAUGUCUCAUAAAUAAUGGUGAAAACAAUUCUUCUCCAACAAACCACUGCUCUUUGGCAUGGAAAUGCAAAUCCACUGUUUCUCUCUACCCUUUCCUGGAGAAUUCUUAGAUUCCAUAGUACAUUCCCUAUGACAUGUAAGUAGAUUUUAGAUUUGAAAUACUCCUGCUGUAAGUUUAGGUGAGAUUUAAGCU
rnacentral:lncRNA from 1 species